rnacentral:rRNA from 1 species
AACGAACGCUGGCGGCAUGCCUAACACAUGCAAGUCGAACGAGACCUUCGGGUCUAGUGGCGCACGGGUUCGUAACGCGUGGGAACCUGCCCUUAGGUUCGGCAUAACUCCCCGAAAGGGGUGCUAAUACCGGAUAAUGUCUUCGGACCAAAGAUUUAUCGCCUUUGGAUGGGCCCGCGUUGGAUUAGCUAGUUGGUAGGGUAAAAGCCUACCAAGGCGACGAUCCAUAGCUGGUCUGAGAGGAUGAUCAGCCACACUGGGACUGAGACACGGCCCAGACUCCUACGGGAGGCAGCAGUGGGGAAUAUUGGACAAUGGGCGAAAGCCUGAUCCAGCAAUGCCGCGUGAGUGAUGAAGGCCUUAGGGUUGUAAAGCUCUUUUACCCGGGAUGAUAAUGACAGUACCGGGAGAAUAAGCUCCGGCUAACUCCGUG